CUUGGGGGGGGGAGGUCCCUCAGUCCAGAUUGCGAGAGGGUGCAGGCCAGGCUGAGGGACCCCACUGGUGCAGG
rnacentral:pre_miRNA from 1 species